GUGCUUGCUUCGACAGCAUAUAUACUAAAAAUGGGAACGAUACAGAGAAGAAUAGCAUGGCCCCUGCACAAGAAUGGCAUGCAAAUUCGUGAAGCGUUUCAUAUUAAA